rnacentral:SRP_RNA from 1 species
GCCAGGUGCGGUGGUGCGUGCCUGUAGUCCCAGCUAAUCAGGAGGCUGAAGUGGGAAGAUCCCUUGAACCCAGGAGUUCUGGCCUGUAGUGCGCUAUACCGAUCGGGUGUCUGCACUAAGUUCAGCAUCAAUAUGGUGACCUCCCAGGAGCAGGGAACCACCAGGUUGCCUAAGGAGGGGUGAACUGACCCAGGUCGGAAAUGGAGCAGGUCAAAACUCACGUGCUGAUCAGUAGUGGGAUCACGCCUGUGAAUAGCCACUGCACUCCAGCCUGGGCAACAUAGCGAGACCCCCUCUCU